UACGUAGGGUCCGAGCGUUGUCCGGAGUUACUGGGCGUAAAGGGCGCGCAGGUGGCAGUGUUGGCCCGGCGUGAAAGCCCCCGGCUCAACCGGGGAGGGUCGUCGGGGACCGCACCGCUUGAGGGCGGUAGGGGCUGGUGGAAUGCCUGGUGUAGUGGUGAAAUGCGUAGAGAUCAGGCGGAACACCCGUAGCGAAGGCGGCCAGCUGGGCCGUCCCUGACACUGAGGCGCGAAGGCGUGGGGAGCGAACGGG
rnacentral:rRNA from 1 species